rnacentral:sRNA from 1 species
UAAAUGUAAUGAUGAGGGUAUUAAAAUUGUUACAACAAAUUAUUUGAGAUAAAAAAAAAAGAAGUUCUUUUAGAGAAAGUAAACUUUAAAACCACAAACAUUGAAUAACAUAUACAUUAUAAUUAUCUCCUAGAUCACAAAAACUAAAUCAUAUAUAUAAAAGUUGGUCAACUCAGAGAGAAUAACAUAUACAUUAUAAUUUAUAACAUAUACAUUAUAAUUUUUUUGUGUGAUGAUGUGUCAUUCAUAUGGAGAGAGUUGGCCAACUUUCAUAUAUAUGAUUUUGAGUCUUUAAUAAACCUUUAAAACAUUAGACCUACCAAAUAAUUUAAUACACGAUCAUUUCUCUUAUCUGGAUAUAUACAAUAACAUAAGAUUUAAAAGUAUUGACUUAAAUGAUAUUUUAAUUUUUGCUUUCUUUUUAUUCUCUUCAUAUAAUUACUCUUGAAAUCUUGUUCAUUUUAUCUCAAUUAUAUAUAUAU